rnacentral:snRNA from 1 species
GGAAGUGAGGGCAAUCUGGCCAUGACAUCUGUCACCCCAUUGAUCGCCAGGGUUGAUUCGGCUGAUCUGGCUGGCUAGGCAGAUGUCCCCUUCCUCCCUCACCACUCCACGUGUGUCCCUCCCGAUGUUGCAUGCUCAGUUGAAGAGGACGACCUUCCCCAAUAGAAGAGGAUCGGUCUUCGGUCAAGGGUAUACGAGUAGCUGUGCUCCCCUGCUAGAACCUCCAAACAAGCUCUCAAGGUCCAUUUGUGGGAGAAUGUAGGAUAGGCAAGCUUCUAAGACUCCACAAACACAUCCAAAUGUCUUUCUUAAAAAAGGAUAAUAGGAAAGACACACUUU